rnacentral:tRNA from 1 species
GAGGGUAUACCUCAAUGGUAGAGUGCAUGCUUACUCUGCAUGACGUCCUGGGUUCAAUCCCCAGUACCUCCA